rnacentral:rRNA from 1 species
GUGGGGAAUUUUGGACAAUGGGCGCAAGCCUGAUCCAGCAAUGCCGCGUGCAGGAAGAAGGCCUUCGGGUUGUAAACUGCUUUUGUACGGAACGAAACGGUCCGGGUUAAUACCCUGGGCUAAUGACGGUACCGUAAGAAUAAGCACCGGCUAACUACGUGCCAGCAGCCGCGGUAAUACGUAGGGUGCAAGCGUUAAUCGGAAUUACUGGGCGUAAAGCGUGCGCAGGCGGAUUUGUAAGACAGGCGUGAAAUCCACGGGCUCAACCUGGGAAUUGCGCUUGUGACUGCAAGGCUGGAGUGCGGCAGAGGGGGAUGGAAUUCCGCGUGUAGCAGUGAAAUGCGUAGAUAUGCGGAGGAACACCGAUGGCGAAGGCAAUCCCCUGGGCCUGCACUGACGCUCAUGCACGAAAGCGUGGGGAGCAAACAGGAUUAGAAACCCCUGUAGUCC